GUUGAUUCUGCCGGAGGUUACUGCUAUCGAGGUUCGACUAAGCCAUGCGAGUCGAAUGUAGCAAUACAUGGCGUACUGCUCAGUAACACGUGGACAACCUACCCUUAGGACGGGGAUAAACCCGGGAAACUGGGUAUAAUACCCGAUAGUCCUCGACUGCUGGAAUGCAUCGAGAACUAAAGCUCCGGCGCCUAAGGAUGGGUCUGCGGCCUAUCAGGUAGUAGUGGGUGUAGUGUACCUACUAGCCUACGACGGGUACGGGUUGUGAGAGCAAGAGCCCGGAGAUGGAUUCUGAGACACGAAUCCAGGCCCUACGGGGUGCAGCAGGCGCGAAAACUUUACAAUGCUGGAAACAGCGAUGAGGGGACCUCGAGUGCCAGGUUACAAAUCUGGCUGUCGUGAUGCCUAAAAAGCAUUGCAUAGCAAGGGCCGGGCAAGACCGGUGCCAGCCGCCGCGGUAACACCGGCGGCUCGAGUGGUAACCGUUAUUAUUGGGUCUAAAGGGUCUGUAGCCGGCCGGAUAAGUCUCUUGGGAAAUCCAGCAGCUCAACUGUUGGGCUUUCAGGAGAUACUGUCUGGCUCGAGGCCGGGAGAGGUGAGAGGUACUUCAGGGGUAGGGGUGAAAUCUUGUAAUCCUUGAAGGACCACCAGUGGCGAAGGCGUCUCACCAGAACGGACCUGACGGCAAGGGACGAAAGCUAGGGGCACGAACCGGAUUAGAUACCCGGGUAGUCCUAGCCGUAAACGAUACUCGCUAGGUGUCGGCCACGGUGCGACCGUUGUCGGUGCCGUAGGGAAGCCGUGAAGCGAGCCACCUGGGAAGUACGGCCGCAAGGCUGAAACUUAAAGGAAUUGGCGGGGGAGCACCACAAC
rnacentral:rRNA from 1 species